rnacentral:rRNA from 1 species
AAUUUUGGGCAAUGGGGGAAACCCUGAUCCACCCAUCCCGCGUGUAUGAUGAAGACCUUCGGGUUGUAAAGUACUUUUGGCAGAGAAGAAAAGGUAGGCCCUAUUACGAGAUACAGCUGACGGUAUCUGCAGGAUAAGCACCCGCUACCUACGUGCCAGCAGCCGCUGUAAUACGUAGGGUGCAAGCCUUAAUCGGAAUUACUGGGCGUAAAGCGUGUGUAGGCGGUUCGGAAAGAAAGAUGUGAAAUCCCAGGGCUCAACCUUGGAACUGCAUUUUUAACUGCCGAGCUAGAGUAUGUCAGAGGGGGGUAGAAUUCCACGUGUAGCAGUGAGAUGCGUAGAUAUGUGGAGAAAUACCGAUGGCGAAGGAAGCCCCCUGGGAUAAUACUGACGCUCAGACACGAAAGCGUGGGGAGCAAACAGG